AACGAACGCUGGCGGCAUGCCUAACACAUGCAAGUCGAACGAGACCUUCGGGUCUAGUGGCGCACGGGUGCGUAACGCGUGGGAACCUGCCUUUAGGUUCGGAAUAACAGUGAGAAAUUACUGCUAAUACCGGAUGAUGUCUUCGGACCAAAGAUUUAUCGCCUUUAGAUGGGCCCGCGUUGGAUUAGCUAGUUGGUGGGUAAAGGCCUACCAAGGCGACGAUCCAUAGCUGGUCUGAGAGGAUGAUCAGCCACACUGGGACUGAGACACGGCCCAGACUCCUACGGGAGGCAGCAGUGGGGAAUAUUGGACAAUGGGCGAAAGCCUGAUCCAGCAAUGCCGCGUGAGUGAUGAAGGCCUUAGGGUUGUAAAGCUCUUUUACCCGAGAUGAUAAUGACAGUAUCGGAAGAAUAAGCUCCGGCUAACUCCGUG
rnacentral:rRNA from 1 species